CAACUACAGCUUAUUGAAUUUGUUCUGGUGAGUAGAAUCAUUACCUUCAGGCUUUUUGCUGUAAACACUGUCUUUUCAGAGAAAAUGUAGUGUUUACAUUAUAGCCUAGUGAUAACUUCACUGGUCACUCCUCAGAUGGCUGUUAGAGAUCCUUCCUGGGUCAUGGCUGCCUAAAAUGCAUCCAAACAUUCAGUAUUUCCUCCCUCUGCAUGCAGACACUGAACUUUCCUCAUAGAGAUUCAUUGAUUCAAUUAAUCUCUAUGACGAGUUGCUGAUUGGCCAG